rnacentral:misc_RNA from 1 species
CAAGCUGCGAUAAGUAAUGUGAAUUGCAGAACUCAGUGAAUCAUCGAGUCUUCGAACGCAUAUUGCGCCCCCCGGCACUCCGGGAGGCACGCCUGUCCGAGCGUCGUCAACCGUCCUCCUAGACCCCCGCUUGCGGGUGGUCUAGACGUUGGGCCUUCCGUGCCCCCGUGUGGGCAGGCUCGAAACCCGACCAAGCGAUGUCCCCUGGGGCCCCGAGCGCAGCGGCUGUCCCAGCUCGAGUGGCCACCAGGGUCCGACCGUCGGCGUACCACGUGGGGGCCUUCCUGGCCCUCGUCUUCGCUGUUGACCUCGGAUCAGGCGGGGUUACCCGCUGAACUUAAGC